UACGUAGGGGGCAAGCGUUGUCCGGAAUUAUUGGGCGUAAAGAGCGCGUAGGCGGUCCGGUAAGUCGGCUGUGAAAGUCAAGGGCUCAACCCUUGAAAGCCGGCCGAUACUGUCGGACUAGAGUCCGGAAGAGGCGAGUGGAAUUCCCGGUGUAGCGGUGAAAUGCGCAGAUAUCGGGAGGAACACCUGUGGCGAAAGCGGCGCACUGGACCACAACUGACGCUGAGGCGCGAAAGCUAGGGGAGCAAACAGG
rnacentral:rRNA from 1 species